rnacentral:rRNA from 1 species
UGGGGAAUAUUGCACAAUGGAGGGAACUCUGAUGCAGCGACGCCGCGUGAACGAAGAAGGCUUUCGAGUCGUAAAGUUCUUUUAUAUGGGAAGAUAAUGACGGUACCAUGAGAAAAAGCCCCGGCUAACUACGUGCCAGCAGCCGCGGUAAUACGUAGGGGGCUAGCGUUGUCCGGAAUCACUGGGCGUAAAGGGUUCGCAGGCGGAAAUGCAAGUCAGGUGUAAAAGGCAGUAGCUUAACUACUGUAAGCAUUUGAAACUGCAUAUCUUUAGAAGAGUAGAGGUAAGUGGAAUUUUUAGUGUAGCGGUGAAAUGCGUAGAUAUUAAAAAGAAUACCGGUGGCGAAGGCGACUUACUGAGCUCAUUCUGACGCUGAGGAACGAACGCGAAGGUAGCAAACAGG